GACGAACGCUGGCGGCGUGCCUAAUACAUGCAAGUCGAACGAGUGGCGGACGUGUGAGUAAUGUAUGGGGAUCUGCCUGAUGGAGGGGGUUAACUACUGGAAACGGUAGCUAAUACCGCAUACCAUCAGAUGAACCCAUCUGGGAUUAGCUAGUAGGUGAGGUAACGGCUCACCUGGGCAUCGAUCCCUAGCUGGUCUGAGAGGAGGAUCAGCAACACUGGAACUGAGACACGGCACAGAAUCCUACGGGAGGCAGCAGUGGGGAAUAUUGCACAAUGGGCGCAAGCCUGAUGCAGCCAUGCCGGGGGUAUGAAGAAGGCCUUCGGGUUGUAAAGUACUUUCAGUCGGGAGGCGUUACCGACAGAAGAAGCACCGGCUAACUCCGUGCCAGCAGCCGCGGUAAUUC
rnacentral:rRNA from 1 species